rnacentral:rRNA from 1 species
UACGUAGGUGGCAAGCGUUGUCCGGAUUUAUUGGGUUUAAAGGGUGCGUAGGCGGCUUUGUAAGUCAGUGGUGAAAUACUCCAGCUUAACUGGAGGGGUGCCCAUUGAUACUGCGGAGCUUGAGUACAGAUGAGGUAGGCGGAAUUGACGGUGUAGCGGUGAAAUGCAUAGAUAUCGUCAAGAACACCGAUAGCGAAGGCAGCUUACUGGGCUGUAACUGACGCUGAGGAGCGAAAGCGUGGGGAGCAAACAGG